rnacentral:tRNA from 2 species
GCCGGAGUGGCGGAAUCGGCAGACGCACAGGUUUCAAAAACCUGCGCCGCAAGGCGUGCGGGUUCAAGUCCCGCCUCCGGCACCA